AUUUGUCUGGUUAAUUCCGAUAACGAACGAGACCUUAACCUGCUAACUAGAUUCUUUUAUUUUAUAACUGAUAUCUUCUUAGAGGGACUAUGUAAUUUAAAUACAUGGAAGUUUGAGGCAAUAACAGGUCAGUGAUGCCCUUAUAUGUCCUGGGCUGCACGCGUGCUACACUGAUGCAUACAACAAGUGCCUAGCCAGACAUGGUAUGGCAAUCUCGAAUAUGCAUCGUGAUGGGGAUAGAUCUUUGCAAUUAUAGAUCUUGAACGAGGAAUUCCUAGUAAGUGCAAGUCAUCAUCUUGCAUUGAUUAUGUCCCUGCCCUUUGUACACACCGCCCGUCGCUCCUACCGAUACCGGGUGAUCCGGUGAACCUUUUGGACUCAUUUGGGAAAGAUAAGUAAACCAUAUCACCUAGAGGAAGGAGAAGUCGUAACAAGGUUUCCGUAGGUGAACCUGCRGAAGGAUCA
rnacentral:rRNA from 1 species